CCCAUGUUGUCAAUUAGAAAAAUAGAGAACUUGACAUUUCCUCCAACUCUCUGUGGAAUAUCUGAGUAUUUACUUCUGGGUAGACUGGUGAGAAGAAACAUGUUCUGAGGUUGAUCUGUUCCCUUCCUCCCAUGCAGGUAGAAAAAGUUAGAGAAGGGGAAGACCAGAGCAAAACUCUUCUGGAAUGGUAAUAGACACAGGGAAUCUUGUAAGCACAGUCUGGACUACAAAGAGUCCCCUGAAUGAGAUCUAGGGACCAGUCCUUUCUGGAGUUUCUGACCCCAACUGCAGCAUGUUAUUUAAUCAUCUGAAGGUUCACAGUACCAAGGACAAGUUAAAGCAAGAGCAUGCCAGUGCAUCUGGAUGCUAGUGACAGCACCAUGGUCUGAAAGGUUCAAUGCAUGUCUUUGCUUCUGGAAAUGGAGGAGCAGGUUUCUGAAAACUGGAUAAGCACACACAGUCUUCAAAGGAUCACCACACUUUGCCUUAGUUACAUCCAACAGAGAAGUGAAUUCCUGAAGUGAGGGGAAGUAUCCAGGCAGAGGCAUCUCUGCCUUGCCUGCACAACAG
rnacentral:lncRNA from 1 species